UUGGCUAUUUUUAGUUCAAGUGGUUGGGUGUGCGGUUAUUUAGAUUACAACAACAUACCCAUGUAAUACCACAAGUGGGGUCUGGGUAGGGUGGUGUGUAUGUAGACCUUACCCCCCUGCCUCGUGAAGACAGGGAGGUUGUUUCCGAAAGACACUUGGUUAUUUAGGUUAAUUCUUCAAUAUAUCGAGUAGAGUAUUUAUAGAUUAUAAUGAUUUGGAUUUUUAAAUAGUUGAAUUUGUUGAAAAGAUGUCACUUCAAGUUGGUAUUUGGAAAUAAUAAUAGUUUGAACUGUCGGAGGGAAAAAAUAUAUUUCCAUAAAUAUGUCAAACUUUUCAUAAAGCACCUAAUGGGGAAGUAGGUAUAACUAGAUGGUGUGGAGAAUAUAAUAAUGAAUGUAGAGCCAUGGAAUAGUUUCUGAUUUGGUCCUAUAGAACUCUUCUAGUAUAUAUUUUUCCUGGAAAAGUAAUAAAGGGGGGAAUUGGAUGAGUGAUAAAGAAACAUUCUGCCAUUUCACUUUUGAAGUUAGUGAAAACUUUUUCUCAUACAAGUUCUUUCUGUAUCUUUUGGUUCCAUUUACACAACUUUACCCUCUUUACUUUAGUGUGUCAUGAUAAAUAGCCGCUUACGUUACUUGCCCUAAUAUACUUUAGUGCAUUAUUGAUUGCAAGUUGAUAGCUAAGAGUAAAGCCAAAAUCUUUAGUUAGAUGUAGGUAUGUCAUUAGAAAAGGAACAUUCAACUUUCAACUCUGCUUACUACCAGAACAGAGAAUUGAUUAGUUCUCUUUUCAAAAAUCUUCAUUUUCAUUUGAAAUGGAUUGCUUUGGGUACUUACUCUUGCAGCUAAAAUAAAUAAAUAAAGGUGUCCUGUCUCUAAAAUUGUUCACACAAUUCAGCAUUUUUCAAUAUGUAUUAGUGUUGAUAAUAGCUCGACAAUGGUGGGAAUUUUUCUUCAGUAUUUGCGGGAUCUCUUGGAUCAUGCCUCAAAUUGUGAACGAAAUAUUGGAGAGUUGGCAGCGCAGAGAAUGCAUAAAGUUUUGAAGCAAAUUUGGAUCACAGACCUUUGCGCAUAUUCGAACUAUUUGGCUAGAAAGAAAUAACGCUUGUUUUGAUGGGCAAAAAGACCAUAUUUCUAAAGUUAAAAACAAUUGUUUACAUAAUUUGUUUUCUUGGUGUAAAAGUAGUUUCAUUGAUAAUAUAGAUCAAUAUAUGGAGCUAUUGGAGUUGCUAA